CCCAGACUCCUACGGGAGGCAGCAGUGAGGAAUAUUGGUCAAUGGUCGGGAGACUGAACCAGCCAAGCCGCGUGAGGGAUGAAGGUACAGAGUAUCGUAAACCUCUUUUGUCAGGGAGCAAAGGGCGCCACGUGUGGCGUUUUGCGAGUACCUGAAGAAAGAGCAUCGGCUAACUCCGUGCCGGCAGCCGCGGUAAUACGGAGGAUGCGAGCGUUAUCCGGAUUUAUUGGGUUUAAAGGGUGCGCAGGCGGAGGUGCAAGUCAGCGGUCAAAUUGCGGGGCUCAACCCCGUACUGCCGUUGAAACUGCAUCCCUUGAGUGCGCGAGAAGUAUGCGGAAUGCGUGGUGUAGCGGUGAAAUGCAUAGAUAUCACGCAGAACUCCGAUUGCGAAGGCAGCAUACCGGCGCGCAACUGACGCUCAUGCACGAAAGCGUGGGUAUCGAACAGGAUUAGAUACCCGUGUA
rnacentral:rRNA from 1 species